AGGGCGAGGGAAGUAAAUGGACAACCAAUCAAUUGUCUUGUUAUGAAAGUGCAGUGAAGGUAGAGUAACUCCUGUUAAAAGUUUCUCUGUUAAGAACAAGUCCAAUCAUGAGAGUGUGAGGAAGGAAGGAAUCAAUACACAUCAACUAUUAUAACUUAGGUCAGUCUUAGAAUCUUAAACAAAACUAUAGUCAUUAUGAAUACCAACCUAAGAAGUCCAAUAUAAACCCUUUAAUAGGUUGACCCCACAAUGUUUUUUUUUAAUCUUGUACCCUUGGGUAGGUGUCUCAUUGACAAUGUUUUUUUUUCAAUCUUGUACCCUUGGGUAGGUGUCUCAUUGACAAUGUUUUUUUUCCAAUCAUAUACCCUUGGGUAGGUGUCUCAUUGACAAUGUUUUUUUUCCAAUCAUAUACCCUUGGGUAGGUGUCUCAUUGACAAUGUUUUUUUUAAUCUUGUACCCUUGAGUAGGUGUCUCAUUGACAAUGUUUUUUUUUAAUCUUGUACCCUUGGGUAGCUGUCUCAUUGACAAUGGUUUUUUUUAAUCUUGUACCCUUGGGUAGGUGUCUCAUUGACAAUGUUUUUUUUUCCAAUCAUAUACCCUUGGGUAGGUGUCUCAUUGACAAUGUUUUUUUUAAUCUUGUACCCUUGGGUAGGUGUCUCAUUGACAAUGUUUUUUUUAAUCUUGUGCCCUUGGGUAGGUGUCUCAUUGACAAUGUUUUUUUUCCAAUCAUAUACCCUUGGGUAGGUGUCUCAUUGACAAUGUUUUUUUUUAAUCUUGUACCCUUGGGUAGGUGUCUCAUUGACAAUAUUUUUUUUUAAUCUUGUACCCUUGGGUAGGUGUCUCAUUGACAAUUUUUUUUAAUCUUGUACCUUUAAGUAGGUGUCUCAUUGACAAUGUUUUUUUUUAAUCUUGUACCCUUGGGUAGGUGUCUCAUUGACAAUGUUUUUCUAAUCUUGUACCCUUGGGUAGGUGUCUCAUUGACAAUAUUUUUUUUUAAUCUUGUACCCUUGGGUAGGUGUCUCAUUGACAAUGUUUUUUUUUAAAUCUUGUACCUUUGGAUAGGUGUCUCAUUGACAUUUUUUUUUUAAUCUUGUUCCCUUGAGUAGGUGUCUCAUUGACAAUGUUUUUUUUUAAUCUUGUACCCUUGUGUAGGUGUCUCAUUGACAAUGUUUUUUUUUAAUCUUGUACCCUUGGGUAGGUGUCUCAUUGACAAUAUUUUUUUUUAAUCUUGUACCCUUGGGUAGGUGUCUCAUUGACAAUGUUUUUUUUUAAUCUUGUACCCUUGGAUAGGUGUCUCAUUGACAAUUUUGUUUAAUCUUGUACCCUUGUGUAGGUGUCUCAUUGACAAUGUUUUUUUUAAUCUUGUACCCUUGGGUAGGUGUCUCAUUGACAAUGUUUUUUUAAUCUUGUACCCUUGGGUAGGUGUCUCAUUGACAAUGGUUUUUUUAAUCUUGUACCCUUGGGUAGGUGUCUCAUUGACAAAGAUUUUUUUUAAUCUUGUACCCUUAGGUAGGUGUCUCAUUGACAAUGUUUUUUUUAAUCUUGUACCCUUUGGUAGGUGUCUCAUUGACAAUGUUUUUUUUUAAUCUUGUACCCUUGGGUAGGUGUCUCAUUGACAAUGUUUUUUUUUAAUCUUGUACCCUUGGGUAGGUGUCUCAUUGACAAUAUUUUUUUUUAAUCUUGUACCCUUGGGUAGGUGUCUCAUUGGUUUACACUCUACAUAUUCUUUUAUUAG